AUGAGUCUCUGCUGCUUUAACUGUUGCAGUAAAGGGUGUGUUGAGUGAAUGUGACAUUGCGGGGGGCCAUGGUGACUGCCGGCCCUCCCUGGAAGCUCAGUGUGCCACCGUUUAGGUCUAACUGGCAGCCUGUGCUCCUAAGAAAGUCCAACCCCAGGAUACAAGGGUCCUGCACAGCCGCCACCCACCCAGGAUGACGCACAGUCCUGCCCCCUACUGUUAGAGUCAUUAUUCCCUUCCUUUUCAUGGGUGCCAGCUCACCUGUGACUGUGCGGAGCUGCACAGUUGUGGGCUCAAACUGAGUCCAACCUGGCACAAUAUCCGGCCUCACCAGGGUUACUGUGGACCCAGUGUCCACCAGGGCAGAGCAAGGCACCCCCUCCACAGUGACAUGACCAAAGUUCCCAAAACAGGUUCUGCCUACCACAACAACAGGCCCCAUCCGCUUGCCCUUGUCUGCUAAUGGGGGAAGUGGAGCCUUGCUUCCCUGUCUGUGCCGGUGAGCUCAUCCUGAAGAUGAUGGUGGUUGGGAAAGAAAGCCAGGGGUCCACACUAGAACAUUCCUCUUUGGAUUACUUCUGUUCUAUUCUGUUCUAUUUGAAUGGCCAGCAGGCCUAUCUUCUCGUCAGCGAAGUACCAAGAAUGCUUCUGAAGCUAAUUGAAUGCUGUGAGCUUCCUCAUUGGCUAUCUUCACUAUCAGUCGAUUAGCCAAUUCGAGCUUCCGCCUUCUCGCAACACUUUCUUGGAAAAGAUGGUUUCCACUAGAUAGCACAGCCACAAAGUAAGAGUUUACUAUUUCGUAAAAAUGUAUAAAAAUACAAAUUAGAUUUUUGGUCUUAAUUUAAGGUUAGGUUUAUGCAUAAUGUUAGCAAUGUGUUUAAGAUUAGGGUUAAGAUAACGUUUAGGUUUAAAAGCACAUUUUAAGAAGAGAAAUUGUCGAAAUGGGCGGGGUUUACGACAUUGUGGCUGGAGUAACUAGUGACGACCGGAAAUUAUGUACACAUGCCGUUGUCGCAGUGUAUUUCAAGUAACAGGUUCGGUUUUGCAUUGCGUUUACUGACUUUUUUUACAUCGAAACAUUUCACUGCAUCGAAUCGUUUUGUGGCAAUUCUUUAUAGUGUACAUAUGGCUUAUCCAGGAUAUGGCGGGUAUGGAGGACCAAUGCAAGGCAUGCAACCCCAGGGUAUGCCCAUGCAGGGUGGACCCAUGGGAGGCCCACCCCAGGCAGGCUACCCCCAGAAUGGUGGAGGCUACCCUGGUACCUUUGCCGCUCCUCCUCAGCAGCCUGUUAAUGACCCCAUGUGGGGGUACUUUACUACCAUAGCAGGACAGGAUGGGGAGAUUGAUGCAGAGGAGCUUCAGAGGUGUCUUACACAGACUGGUAUCAGUGGCACCUAUACUCCCUUCAGUUUGGAGACAUGUAGAAUCAUGAUUGCAAUGCUGGAUAGAGACAUGACCGGAAAGCUGGGCUUCAAUGAGUUCAAGGAGCUGUUUGCUGCCUUGAGUGGCUGGAAGCAGAACUUCAUGAUGUUUGACCAGGACCGGAGUGGCACGGUGGAACCCCAUGAGAUGACCCAGUCCAUCUCCGCUAUGGGCUACAGGAUCAGCCCGCAAGCUCUGAACGCUGUCAUCAAACGCUACAGCAAGGCUGGCCGGAUCUAUUUUGACGACUAUGUGGCAUGUGCUGUGAAGCUUCGCGCCCUCACAGGUAAGAUGCUGACUUGGAGGCUGCACGUGAUGAUGUUUAACCUUUUAUUCAACAGCAUUUCAAAUUUCCUCACAAUCCAGAGCUAUGGGUUUCGUUAUAAAAUCUGUCAUUCACUAACAUUUUACUCAUUCAAGUCUUUUGCGGUGUAAUCUGUCUUGUUUUGUCCUGGUCUCUUGUGCAUGUACAUUCGUAGGCUCAUUAGCACAGUGUCUCGCUGGGUAUUGUAGUCCAAUGAAUGGCAUUCAAAUUUCACCUCUACACUGCCAUCUUUACUAUGUGUCUCCACAGAGAGCUUCAGGAGGAGAGACCAGAUGCAGCAGGGGGCUGUCAACUUCCAAUACGAUGACUUUAUCCUGUGUACAAUGGCCAUCUGAGUGGAGUGGAGUGGAGUGGCCUGGCCUGGCCCGGGCCCAUCCCGUGCUGGAGUCAGAGGGGCACUUCAACCGGCAGUCUGGGGCUCGCUGACCACUUCCCCUAAAUAAUGGGAAGGCACCAAUCAAUAUUAGCCAAUAAUUCUUAGGUCGAUUCCCAUGACCAACUUAAAAUGGGGAAGAAACUGUUUGUUUGCCAUAAUGUCUGCCUUGUACACAAUACAGGAAUGUGCAGAUUUGCCAGAUAACACAUGGCGUGUUUCUAAAUGUAUCUGCUUGUUGUAAAUUCUGUUGCUAACUGACAGUGGUAGGUUUAAACAAAGAAAGGGAUGGCGAAGCUGUUACUGAUUUUUACCAUGGUGACGUUUGUGCCAUUACAAUCUCGGAUCGUCGCUUUCCAGAUUCAUCCCCACCACUGUAUAAGUUGUUUUUGUAACCACUAUAUAUAGGUGUGAAUUACUUUUACAUUAAACACUCCAUACAUUUUGAAGUAUAGAUAUAUAAUAUUUUUAUUACAAAUAUACAGUUUUUUUUUAUUUUUUAAGGAUAACUAUAUGCGUCUCUUGAUUUGAAUGAAAUGUGGCCUAACAUAAUACACAAAUUAAACAUUAGGGCGUCCACAAAUGUAUGAAUAACCUGCACUGUGUUGUAAACAUGCACUGUAAUUCCUUUGCAAAGAAAAGCAUGCAUUAACUACCACCAACAAUUACAUGUACAACUUUUUUUUUGUGAUAACCUGCAUUUUUAUAGUUCAGGGUGAAAUAUUUAUCAGACAUGUAGUUAAGUGCAUUGUGACCAUUGGGGCAUUCAUCAGUGAUAUAGGUGUUAUUCACAACACAAUAAACUCAGUUUGUAGGCAGUAUGCAUUCUGUUUAUUAAUUUAUACAAUUACACAAAUGGUUUUCAUCAAUAUGUACACAAUAUAUUACAUUUCUUUAAAUACAGCAUAUUCAAGGACAAACAUUCAUAUCAGCUGUUAAGUGUUGCAUUGUAAAAAAUACAGUGGCAAACAUUUAAAAAAAAUGCAUAAAAACAAUUGUGAAAUUUC